rnacentral:rRNA from 1 species
CCUACGGUGGGCAGCAGUGAGGAAUAUUGGUCAAUGGACGAGAGUCUGAACCAGCCAAGUAGCGUGAAGGAUGACUGCCCUAUGGGUUGUAAACUUCUUUUAUAUGGGAGUAAAAUGUUCCACGUGUGGGAUUUUGUAUGUACCAUAUGAAUAAGGAUCGGCUAACUCCGUGCCAGCAGCCGCGGUAAUACGGAGGAUCCGAGCGUUAUCCGGAUUUAUUGGGUUUAAAGGGGGCGUAGGUGGAUUGAUAAGUCAGUGGUGAAAGUUUGCGGCUCAACCCUAUAAUUGCAGUUGAAACUGGCAGUCUUGAGUACAGUAGAGGUAGGCGGAAUGCGUGGUGUAGCGGUGAAAUGCUUAGAUAUCACGAAGAACUCCGAUUGCGAAGGCAGCUCACUGGACUGCAACUGACGCUGAGGCACGAAAGUGUGGGUAUCAAACAGGAUUAGAUACCCGGGUAGUC